rnacentral:rRNA from 1 species
AGAGUUUGAUCAUGGCUCAGAAUCAACGCUGGCGGCGUGCCUAACACAUGCAAGUCGAACGCGAAAGUGGGGGCAACUCCAUGAGUAGAGUGGCAGACGGGUGAGUAACACGUGGGCAACCUGCCCUGAAGUGAGGAAUAACCUGCUGAAAGGCGGGCUAAUACCGCAUAACAUUCCCGGAACCCAAGUACCGGGGAUCAAAGCCCGAAAGGGCGCUCCAGGAGGGGCCCGCGUCUGAUUAGCUUGUUGGUAGGGUAACGGCCUACCAAGGCUGCGAUCAGUAGCCGGCCUGAGAGGGUGAACGGCCACACUGGAACUGAGACACGGUCCAGACUCCUACGGGAGGCAGCAGUGGGGAAUUUUGCGCAAUGGGCGAAAGCCUGACGCAGCAACGCCGCGUGGGUGACGAAGUCCCUUGGGACGUAAAACCCUGUCGGCUGGGACGAAACUUCCCGCAAGGGAAACUGACUGUACCAGCAAAGGAAGCCCCGGCUAACUCCGUGCCAGCAGCCGCGGUAAUACGGGGGGGGCAAGCGUUGUUCGGAAUUACUGGGCGCAAAGGGCGUGUAGGCGGCUUGGUAAGUCAGUUGUGAAAGCCCCAGGCUCAACUUGGGAAUUGCAACUGAAACUGCCUGGCUAGAGUUCAGGAGAGGAGAGCGGAACUCCCAGUGUAGCGGUGAAAUGCGUAGAUA